UACAGAGGUCUCAAGCGUUGUUCGGAUUCAUUGGGCGUAAAGAGCGUGUAGGCGGCCACGCAGGUCCGUUGUGAAAACUGGAGGCUCAACCUCCAGACGUCGACGGAAACCGUAUGGCUAGAGUCCGGAAGAGGAGAGUGGAAUUCCUGGUGUAGCGGUGGAAUGCGUAGAUAUCAGGAAGAACACCGGUGGCGAAGGCGGCUCGCUGGGCCAGAUCCGACACUCAUCCGCGAAAGCGUGGGGAGCAAACAGG
rnacentral:rRNA from 1 species